GGAGUAGUACUCAAGAGGCUGAAGAGGCGCCCCUGCUAAGGGUGUAGAUCGGGAAACUGGUGCGAGAGUUCAAAUCUCUCCUACUCCGCCA
rnacentral:tRNA from 1 species